GUAAUGUCCAAUCAGUGCGCCGGAUCUUGGGUAUAUAAAGACGGGCGUCUCGGAGGUUAGCAUAAUUCCUGUCGAUACGUCAGCAUUUACAAAGGACAAGACCUAAGGGACUUUACGUUGCUGCAAAACUUCACCUGCCUGACCAUGAAGUGGACUAUGAUGCUCGUGUUGCUUCUUGCUUGCCUUGGUGUUGGCAAAGCCGUGACGGAGUGCUACGAUUGUACUAGCUCCGAUGCUGGGUGUGGUGACACAUUCGAUAAGACAGCGCAAGCAAAAUAUCUAAAGCCUUGCACCACCGGUUUGACUGACGCUUGUUACAAAGGUAAAGUUAACGGGGUUGUAGCAAUGCGCAGCUGUAUGUCGACUGUGGGAUGUGCGUUUAGUGGAAACAACGAUUGCUUUGAAGAAAGCUCCGAUAACGUUGUCUGCUGCUGCACUGGAGAUGGAUGCAACAGCGCCACCACUCGUCAAGUCAGCUAUGUCGCUUUGGCCGCCAUGAUGUUCGUAGCAAAGGCUGUGUUCUAAACGACAUAUGGCUACCUUGAUAAAAA